rnacentral:rRNA from 1 species
GACGAACGCUGGCGGCGUGCCUAAUACAUGCAAGUAGAACGCUGAAGGAGGAGCUUGCCUCUCUGGAUGAGUUGCGAACGGGUGAGUAACGCGUAGGUAACCUGCCUGGUAGCGGGGGAUAACUAUUGGAAACGAUAGCUAAUACCGCAUAAUAUUGACUAUUGCAUGAUAGUCAGUUGAAAGGUGCAACUGCACCACUACCAGAUGGACCUGCGUUGUAUUAGCUAGUUGGUGGGGUAACGGCUCACCAAGGCGACGAUACAUAGCCGACCUGAGAGGGUGAUCGGCCACACUGGGACUGAGACACGGCCCAGACUCCUACGGGAGGCAGCAGUAGGGAAUCUUCGGCAAUGGACGGAAGUCUGACCGAGCAACGCCGCGUGAGUGAAGAAGGUUUUCGGAUCGUAAAGCUCUGUUGUAAGAGAAGAACGAGUGUGAGAGUGGAAAGCUCACACUGUGACGGUAUCUUACCAGAAAGGGACGGCUAACUACGUG